CUACGUGCCAGCAGCCGCGGUAAUACGGAAGGUCCGGGCGUUAUCCGGAAUUAUUGGGUUUAAAGGGAGCGCAGGCGGGAGUAUAAGUCAGCUGUUAAAUAUCAGGGCCCAACUCUGUUAUGCAGUUGAAACUAUAUUUCUUGAGUACGCACAGGGAUGGCGGAAUUCAGGGUGUAGCGGUGAAAUGCUUAGAUAUCCUGAAGAACUCCGAUCGCGAAGGCAGCCAUCCGGGGCGUAACUGACGCUGAGGCUCGAAGGUGCGGGUAUCGAACAGGAUUAGAUACCCUGGUAGUCCACGCUGUAAACGAUGUCGAUUUGGGGGUUGAACUUUAAGUUUGGCGCCCGUAGCUAACGUGAUAAAUCGACCGCCUGGGGAGUACGGCCGCAAGGUUAAAACUCAAAUGAAUUGACGGGGGCCCGCACAAGCGGUGGAGCAUGUGGUUUAAUUCGAUGCAACGCGAAGAACCUUACCUACUCUUGACAUCCAGA
rnacentral:rRNA from 1 species